rnacentral:lncRNA from 15 species
GUGACUAACAUCACUUCUCUUCUGUUCUUCUUCCUCUCUGCUCUGUCUUCCCUCCCUCGUCUUCCUCUUUCCACAUUUCUCAGAGUUUUUAAGAAGUCGAGCCCCAACUGUAAGGUGACAGUUUACCUGGGAAAGAGGGACUUUGUGGAUCACCUGGACCACGUGGACCCAGUAGAUGGAGUGAUCCUCGUCGACCCCGAGUAUCUGAAGGACAGGAAAGUCUUCGUCACUCUGACCUGUGCGUUUCGAUACGGCCGUGAGGACCUGGACGUGCUGGGUCUGUCUUUCAGGAAGGAUCUCUACAUCUCCACCUUCCAGGCCUUCCCUCCGGUCCCUGAGGAGAAGAAACCCAACAGUCGUCUGCAGGAGAGGCUGCUGAAGAAGCUCGGUCAGCAUGCACACCCGUUCUACUUCACUAUUCCUCAGAACCUCCCGUGUUCAGUCACUUUACAGCCCGGCCCAGAGGACACUGGGAAGGCCUGUGGUGUGGACUUUGAGAUCAGAGCUUUCUGUGCCAAGUCAAUAGAAGAGAAGAUUCACAAGAGGAACUCGGUGCGUCUGGUGAUCAGGAAGGUGCAGUACGCUCCGGAGAAGCCCGGUCCUCAGCCGAUGGUGGAGACGACCCGCAGCUUCCUGAUGUCUGACAGAUCCCUACACCUGGAGGCAUCAAUCAAACCAAAAUCAAUAAUGCGUCAGUAUGCAGACAUCUGCCUGUUCAGUACUGCCCAGUAUAAAUGUCCAGUGGCCCAGCUGGAGGCAGACGACCAGGUGUCGUCCAGCUCCACCUUCUGCAAGGUGUACACUCUGACCCCGACGCUCGACAAGAACCGAGAGAAGAGAGGACUCGCUCUGGACGGGAAACUCAAACACGAAGACACCAACCUGAUGGACCCCCCCAUCGACACCAAUUUGAUAGAAUUCGACACAAACAUCUCCCAGGACGACGACUUCGUGUUCGAGGACUUCGCCCGCCUGCGGCUCAAAGGCGUUGUAGACGACAAGGACGAGGACUGCUAG